ensembl:lncRNA
GCGGAAACUUCUGUUGUGUUGAGCUGUGUACCAAGAGAGAGAUGAAGGUUGUCAAUAAAUAGCAAUGGCUCCGGCUUCUAACACAUAGAAGUGAGUCUGAACGGAAAGUUACUAUUAAACAAACAAGCAUGUUAGCGAGCUAGACAAGAGGGAACAUGCAAAUACGGCUUAGCCAGCAAGCGUUACAAUAGCUCUCACUAACAACAAAGAAACUAUGAGCCAGUUAACGUUAGCUAGCUUUUCCAAAAUUACUAGAUUUAGUUACAUUUACACUGAAUGAUCGUAAUAUGAAUAAUUACCCACAGUUAGCUGGCUAGCAACUCUGUGAUGAUGACAUUUUAGAAAGUGGUCUGUCGCUAGCGAAAUUUAGCAAUGCGGGUGUGUUUACAUACAUUAGCUCCUAUUGUAAUUGGGUUACAACGAAACAGGAAGUCAGAAGUUCCAUUUUAACUUUUUUUUUUAAGCCCUCGAUUUUCAUUGAGUUGUCGCCAACCAUUUUCUCUUAAGGCAUCGCACCUGGCAUUGAUGAGCCUGGAAAGAGUGGCGAUAACAUCAUUAUUGGCAGUGGCAUCUGGGCCCAGUUCCAAACAUGCCUUUCUUGGAAGCUGGAGGUUUGCUUUAAAGGUUAAAGGCAAAGAAGGAAAAUCCUCGUCUGACACGGGGAUGACUGGUCUGGCAGCUCAACAGAGCCAAGGGAGAGAAGGUCAAAUACGAGGUGAUAGUCGCGUGUGUGUGUGUUCGUUGCCCAAGCCCUGUUCCGACAGGUGGCGGAUUUGACCAGUGUGUAUGAAGAGGUGGACGAGGAACUCUCGGAUGGCGAGAGAGGCAGAACGGUGACUGGAUCGUUGAUGAUGUUUUCUUGAAGAUCACUCCGUGACACACACAAUGCAGUGGUUCAGCAGAAGAUGAUGCGCUGUCUGCCGCUGACUUCCCACUCGCCGUCUCUCGCCGCUGUCAUCAAAUGGACUCAUGCUAGCAACAAGUUCUGACUGAGCUCUAUUGUCAUGAAAUGCCAUACAACUGCAGAGUUUCUCUCUUUCUCAUACAAAGUUAUAACGAGGAGCGCCCACAAUGUGUUCUGUGUGGGGAAAGUGCUUACUGAUGAGUCUCUCAUAACGAACAAAUGAGUAAAAGGACACGCCCUGACCAAACAUCCACAGCAUGAUGGUAAACCCAGAGAGUUAUUUCAGAACAGGGCAGAAUGCUUCAGGAAACAGUGGUUCAGGAAACAGUGCUUCAGGAAACAGGGCUUCAGGAAACAGUGCUUCGGGAAACAGGGCUUCAGGAAACAGUGCUUCGGGAAACAGGGCUUCAGGAAACAGUGCUUCGGGAAACAGUGCUUCGGGAAACAGUGCUUCAGGAAACAGUGCUUCGGGAAACAGUGCUUCGGGAAACAGUGCUUCGGGAAACAGUGCUUCAGGAAACAGUGCUUCAGGAAACAGUGCUUCAGGAAACAGUGGAAAAAGCUGAGCAGCCAGCCAGUGAGUUGGUGGAAGUGAUGGCGUUGCAUAGGGACCUGGUCACCGAGGUCAAAGACCUGCCGCCUCCACCUCUCACUGUCAUGUCCUUCAGCCUGAAGACUACAGAACCCGGAACACCACAACGAGGUGUGUGUAAUACUGAGUCAGACUUAGGUCUGUUACGAUGACUGAGUUAUAGGCGCUGUAAAAUUCCACAUGACUUCUGAGCAGUUGUGUAAAGGUACUUAAGUAAAAAUACUUUAAAGUACUACCUAAGUAGUUGUUUGGGUUAUCUGUACUUUACUAUUUAGAUUUUUUUUGACUACUUUUACUUCACUACAUUCCGAAAGAAAAUAAUGUACUUUUUACUCCAUACAUUUUUCCUGACAGUCAAAAGUACCUUGUUAAAUGUCGAAUGCUUAGCAGGAUAGCAAAAUGGUCCCUGGCUAGUCCUUAAUAAAAACUAAAAACAA